rnacentral:rRNA from 2 species
UUGACCUCGGAUCAGGUAGGGAUACCCGCUGAACUUAAGCAUAUCAAUAGCGGAGGA